UACGUAGGGGGCGAGCGUUAUCCGGAAUUACUGGGCAUAAAGGGCGUGUAGGCGGUAGAUUAAGUCAGAUGUUAAAUUUUACGGCUCAACCGUAGAGUGCAUUUGAAACUGGACUACUAGAGAACAAGAGAGGUAAGCGGAACUCACAGUGUAGCGGUGAAAUGCGUAGAUAUUGUGAGGAACACCAGUUGCGAAGGCUGCUUACUGGCUUGGUACUGACGCUGAGGCGCGAAAGCAUGGGUAGCGAACGGG
rnacentral:rRNA from 1 species